UACAGAGGUCUCAAGCGUUGUUCGGAUUCAUUGGGCGUAAAGGGUGCGUAGGCGGCGCGGUAAGUCGGGUGUGAAAUCUUGGAGCUUAACUCCGAAACUGCAUUCGAUACUGCCGUGCUUGAGGACUGGAGAGGAGACUGGAAUUUACGGUGUAGCAGUGAAAUGCGUAGAGAUGCGGAGGAACACCGAUGGCGAAGGCAGCCCCCUGGGCUGACACUGACGCUCAGGCACGAAAGCGUGGGGAGCAAACAGG
rnacentral:rRNA from 1 species